GUGAGUCUGUUCCAAGGCGGCUUUUCUUUGAGCUCCCUCCAGCCUUCUCUGGGAAUAGCUGCUGAGGGAUGGUCAGGAGGAGGCAGCUUGAGGCCUCAGCUGAAGCAGAAAAGGACCAUAAGCAGAAUCUAUAAAUGGUGAAAGCAAACUGUCAACUGGAAUAUAUUCAGAAAUCCGCUCAGCCUAAUGCAUGAUUCUUUUCCAACAUAGGUUAUUACAGAAUGUUGAGUAGUGUUUCCUGUGCUAACCAACAACAAGUAGGUUUGCUGCUAAGUCGCUUCAGUCAUGUCCGACUCUGUGUGACCUCAUAGAUGGCAGCCCACCAGGCUCCCCUGUCCCUGGGAUUCUCCAGGCAAGAACACUGGAGUGGGUUGCCAUUUCCUUCUCCAAUGCAUGAAAGUGAAAAGUGAAAGUGAAGUCGCUCCGUCGUGUCCAACUCUUAGUGACCCCAUGGACUGCAGCCC
ensembl:lncRNA